GAUGAACGCUGGCGGCGUGCCUAAUACAUGCAAGUCGAGCGAAUGGAUUAAGAGCUUGCUCUUAUGAAGUUAGCGGCGGACGGGUGAGUAACACGUGGGUAACCUGCCCAUAAGACUGGGAUAACUCCGGGAAACCGGGGCUAAUACCGGAUAACAUUUUGAACCGCAUGGUUCGAAAUUGACAGGCGGCUUCGGCUGUCACUUAUGGAUGGACCCGCGUCGCAUUAGCUAGUUGGUGAGGUAACGGCUCACCAAGGCAACGAUGCGUAGCCCACCUGAGAGGGUGAUCGGCCACACUGGGACUGAGACACGGCCCAGACUCCUACGGGAGGCAGCAGUAGGGAAUCUUCCGCAAUGGACGAAAGUCUGACGGAGCAACGCCGCGUGAGGGAUGAAGGCUUUCGGGUCGUAAAACUCUGUUGUUAGGGAAGAACAAGUGCUAGUUGAAUAAGCUGGCACCUUGACGGUACCUAACCAGAAAGCCACGGCUAACUACGUGCCAGCCGCCGCCGUAA
rnacentral:rRNA from 1 species